AGAGUUUGAUCAUGGCUCAGAUUGAACGCUGGCGGUAUGCUUAACACAUGCAAGUCGAACGGUAACAGUCCCUCACCUAGAAAUUUCUUAAAAAGGGAUUUGUAGGUGAGGGAGCUGACGAGUGGCGGACGGGUGCGUAAUGUAUAGGAAUCUGCCUAGUAGUGGGGGACAACUCGGAGAAAUUCGAACUAAUACCGCAUAAGCCCUACGGGGGAAAACGGGGGAUCUUCGGACCUCGUGCUAUUAGAUGAGCCUAUAUUAGAUUAGCUUGUUGGUGAGGUAAUGGCUCACCAAGGCGACGAUCUAUAGCUGGUCUGAGAGGAUGAUCAGCCGCACUGGGACUGAGACACGGCCCAGACUCCUACGGGAGGCAGCAGUGGGGAAUAUUGGACAAUGGGCGAAAGCCUGAUCCAGCAAUACCGCGUGUGUGAAGAAGGCCUGAGGGUUGUAAAGCACUUUCAAUUGGGGGGAAUACCUAAUAGUUAAUAGCUAUUAGAUUGAC
rnacentral:rRNA from 1 species